UACGGGGGGGGCAAGCGUUGUUCGGAAUUACUGGGCGUAAAGGGCUCGUAGGCGGCCAACUAAGUCCGACGUGAAAUUCCCGGGCUCAACCUGGGGGCUGCGCUUGAUACUGAUUGGCUUGAAUGCGGGAGAGGAUAGUGGAAUUCCCAGUGUAGAGGUGAAAUUCGUAGAUAUCUGGAGGAACACCGGUGGCGAAGGCGACAUCCUGGACCGGUAUUGACGCUGAGGCGCGAAAGCCAGGGGAGCAAACGGG
rnacentral:rRNA from 1 species